CCCAUCUCAGGGUGGCACCUGGAGAGUUUCCAGACCUCUACCAGCCUUGACUACAGGAGGGAGAGUCAAGCAGAGGCCUGCCCAUUCCAUUCCUAGCUUGGCCAAUGGCUAGUGAGCGGAAGGCCAUCUGCUACAAGU
rnacentral:snoRNA from 1 species